rnacentral:snRNA from 1 species
GUGCUCGCUUCAGAAGCACAUAUACUAAAAUUGGAACGAUACAGAGAAGAUUAGCAUGGUCCCUGUGCAAGGAUGGCACUAAAUAAAAUAAGAAAAAAAAACCCUCC